CAAGUAGAACGGGUGACCGCUCGCCGCGAGGUGAGAGGAAAGUCCGAGCUCCACCGGGCAGGAUGCUGGGUAAUACCCAGGAGGGGUGACCCUAUGGAAAGUGCCACAGAAACAUACCGCCAGCGGCCCCGAUUAUAUCGGGGUGCGGGUAAGGGUGAAAUGGUGAGGCAAGAGCUCACCAGCGGCUGGGUGACCAGCCGGCUGUGAAAACCCCGUCUGGAGCAAGACCAAAUAGGGGGACGAAGGAUGCCCGGCCUGAUCCCCGGGUUGGUCGCUAGACCCUGAUGGUAACAUCCGGGCGAGAUAGAUGGCCACCGUCCCGAUUGUACCGGGAUACAGAAUUCGGCUUACAGGUUUACUUGCCCC
rnacentral:RNase_P_RNA from 1 species